rnacentral:rRNA from 1 species
GUGGGGAAUAUUGGACAAUGGGCGGAAGCCUGAUCCAGCCAUGUCGCGUGUGUGAAGAAGGCCUUUUGGUUGUAAAGCACUUUAAGCGAGGAGGAGGCUCUUAAGGUUAAUACCCUUGAUGAGUGGACGUUACUCGCAGAAUAAGCACCGGCUAACUCUGUGCCAGCAGCCGCGGUAAUACAGAGGGUGCGAGCGUUAAUCGGAUUUACUGGGCGUAAAGCGUGCGUAGGCGGCUGAUUAAGUCGGAUGUGAAAUCCCUGAGCUUAACUUAGGAAUUGCAUUCGAUACUGGUCAGCUAGAGUAUGGGAGAGGAUGGUAGAAUUCCAGGUGUAGCGGUGAAAUGCGUAGAGAUCUGGAGGAAUACCGAUGGCGAAGGCAGCCAUCUGGCCUAAUACUGACACUGAGGUGCGAAAGCAUGGGGAGCAAACAGGAUUAGAUACCCCAGUAGUCC